UGUUCUGCUAAUGAUACUGAUCAUCUGCACCAAUGCUUCAACAAGCAAAGCUGCAAUUUUAACCCGUAGAACAAUCACUGGAUCUUGGAAUGAUGAUAUGCCCGAAUUCAUUGCAGACGAAGAGCACUUGAUGGAAUCCAAUAAGGAAUAUAUGGUAAUUGUCUUGGGAAGGAAAUGAAAAUUGGCAGGCCUUGUAAUGCCUACGAUCGUUGCAGAGGAGGUUCCCCAAGUUGACCAGAAGAAGACGACGUAUAUACAAAUACGGCAGGUUUGAAGCAUUCAUAUAUAGUGUGUGUGUGGAUCUGUAUUAUUUAGCUAUUAUAUAUAAUUAAAGAAGCUCGAUGGUAUUGUAAUCUUAGCUCGAUGAUAAUGCUACUCUAAUCACGCUGAGGUUAUUAUCAUCACAGAGCAUAACUUUGUUAUCCUUGAUUAUUAAUUUACGGUAUUAUGAAGAACUGUAUUUGCUGUAGAAUUCUUUGCUGUUGUAUAGAUUAUAUUCUAUUAUUUCUA